rnacentral:rRNA from 1 species
CUGACACAGGUGCUGCAUGGCUGUCGUCUAGCUCGUGUCGUGAGAUCGUUGGGUUAAGUCCCGUAACGAGCGCAACCCUUGUCCUAGUUACCAGCACGUUAUGGUGGGCACUCUAAGGAGACUGCCGGUGACAAACCGGAGGAAGGUGGGGAUGACGUCAAGUCAUCAUGGCCCUUACGGCCUGGGCUACACACGUGCUACAAUGGUCGGUACAAAGGGUUGCCAAGCCGCGAGGUGGAGCUAAUCCCAUAAAACCGAUCGUAGUCCGGAUCGCAGUCUGCAACUCGACUGCGUGAAGUCGGAAUCGCUAGUAAUCGUGAAUCAGAAUGUCACGGUGAAUACGUUCCCGGGCCUU